GUUUCCUUUGCCAUGCAAAAGCUUGUCAGUUUGAUUAGGUUCCAUUUGUUUGUCUUUGCUUUUAUUUCUGUUGCCUUGGGAGACUGUCCUGAGAAAACAUUUGUAAGGUUGAUGUCAGAGAAUGUUUUUCCUAUGUUCUCUUCUAGAGUUUGAUGGUGUCUGGUCUUACGUUUAUGUCUUUAAGCCAUUUUCAGUUUACUUUUGUGCAUGGUGUGAGGGUGUGUUCCAGCUUCAUUGAUUUACAUGUGGCUGUCCAGUUUUCCCAGCACCACCUGCUGAAAAGACUGCCUUUUUCCCAUUUUAUAUUCUUGCCUCCUUUGUUGAAGAUUAAUUGACCAUAGGUGUCUGGGUUUAUUUCUGGUUCUCUAUUCUGUUCCAUUGGUCUGUAUGUCUGUUUUGGUACCAGUACCACACCAUCUUGAUGAUUGCAGCUUUGUAAUAUUACCUGAAUUCUGGGAGAGUUAUACCUCCUGCUUGGUUUUUAUUCCUCAGGAUUUCUUUGGCAAUUCUGGGUCCUUUGUGUGAAUCCACAGUUUUUAAAUUAGAAUCACUCACCUGGUGUCUGGACUUACUGAGUUUCAGGUUCUUUGUGCUUCAGCAUCGAAGGAAUUCAGCGAGAGACAGUGAUAGGAUAGGAUGCUUGUGAGAGAUGGAAGCAGGCAGGUGAGGAGGCUCUGCCCCAAGAAUUAGGUAGGCUACCGUUUUAUCAUCCAAGGGGAGUGGGGGUGGGGAAAGACCACCUUUUUCUCUUUCUUUGAGUAGUAGGUCCUCCUUGGUAUCUGCUAAGAGAGAAUUUGACCCUCUAAGGUCAAACCAGGACUGUCAUCGUGCUUAUUCAAAUCAGCAGAAGGCUGGUCCUUAAACACUUGCCCCUGAUCUGAGCAUGAAUGCAGGCUUCACCCCAUUCCCCACCCAGUGACCUGAGGCAUGUCUCAUAUCUCCCAAAGUCCCCUACGGUUCCCUCUCUAUCUAUGGUCUCUUAUUGGGACUUCCACAACUAUGUGUGUAACUAUCCUACUCCAUCCCUAUCUGAAUUGGAGCUGCAGCUGCCAGCCUAUACCACAGCCAUAGCAACAAGGGAUCCAAGCCAGGUCUGUGACCUACGCCACAGCUCACAGCAACACUGGAUACUUAACUCACUGAACGAGGCCAGAGAUCGAACCCACAUCCUCACAGAUGUUAUAUCAGGCUCUUAACCCACCGAGCUACAAUGGGAACACCUUAACUCCCCUAUACUUCAUUUCUCACUUGCUUCAUUUUUCCAGAGUCAUCACAGCCAUCGUGGCCAAGCCAUCAUCACCUCUUGUUUGAAUCAAGGUGAAACUCUCUAACUUGUCUCCCUUCAUUCUCUUGUCCCUGACCACACAGCACCCAGAUAUCCUUUCUCUGGUGCCCAGAGCACUCAAACACAGAAGCUAAAAUUCUUAGUCUGACUUCAAGACCCUCUGUGACUUCUCUUGCUUCGGCUCCCUCUCACAUUUCUCACCCUCUCUCAUUCUACUCCAGCCACACUGGCCUUCUUCCUAUUCUCUGAACAUACCUCAGGGCCUUUGCACUUGCUGUCCCUGAACAUAUUUUCCUAUCUUUAGGGAAAGAUAUUGUGGAUACCCCUGUAUAGCACUUAGAUUGAUUUCCUAUUACUGAGGCAUGAAGAGACCUGAGAGGGGGCUGAAUUAGGCAAUGUCAAAGUGGCUGCUUUCCUGCACCCCUUUCAUCAUGAUUUUCUAUGUAACAUCUUUCAUGCUUUCUGCCUACCCAACCUAUGUGAUGGUCAGUGUCAGAGCUCAGGCUGGAGAACCAGCCACCGGACAGUUAACAGUUACACAGGCAGUGGCUGUUUGAGUCUUGUUUCUGCUCCAGGCAGGAUCCCUUUUUAUCUCAGACCCCAAACAGUGGAAACGGAUCUUUCCAUCACACCGUCUCCUCUCCCAUUUUACUAAAAGGCCCAGAGAACAUACCCAGGACAGUCCUCAGGGCAGAGAGAGGAUGUAAGAGAAGCUAGUCCCCUAGGGACAGGGGAAGAUCCAGCUGGCAGUCACCAGGGCGCUGAGUGUGUGGGAGGAGGAAGCAGCCAGUCAGCCUGGCAAAAGGCCUAAACAGGCACCAACCAGCCGAGGAGAGGCAGCCAAGGCGAAGAGAAAUCUGACCACAUCGGAACUCAGACCAGUUGGCAAGGAACUUGGUCCCACUAGUUCCUGGAGGAUAAAGAGGUGAAAUUGUGUCUCAGGUCCCAAGACAGACCAACAUCUGAUGUUGUGUGCUUGAGGUUUCUAAGUGUGAGCCAGGCUCAUUGCAUCUAGCUGUCAUUUCCAUGUGUUGAUCCAGUGUUUUCCCAACAAAUGCUUUGAGUAUGUCCUUAAAGUCCUUGAUCAAAGGCUGGAGAGGUCUGGUCCCACUUGAGAUGGUUGUCUGGAUGGAGUGGACUCUAGCUAAUAAUUCAACUCUCUUCAGCAGCCAGAGAAGGGGAACUCAGAAAUGUAUACCCCUUCCAGAAUGAAGCUUUAACAAGACUUCUUUUAGUCUGAGUCUGUUGUACCUUUUACCUCUUUUACACAGCAGGGGCUCUGUCUUCCUUUUUCCUUCCCAUAGCACCAGUGCUGUAUGUGGCAGGCAUUAAAUGACUAUCUACCUAAAAGAAGCAUAUCUUGAAUUAAACUACAUGUUCUGACCAUCUCAGUAAACCCUGCACAUUUUUGGCAGGGGUUUUCAGGCCCCUCUGCACCAUCCACCCCAAAGGGCUGUCAGGACCUAAGUAUUCUGACUAUCUCACCCUAUCGUCUUGUGCACAGGUGCUUGCAUCCAAAGUGCUUGUAAAAGCAGUAGACUCUACUCAAGUCUAAAGUGGGAAGACUACCUGUGAUGAUGUUGGAUAAUUGCCUCCAGACUAGCAGAGCUAGUGCUAUUACUGUGUGUUCAUGAGGUAUGAGCUGAGACUUUCCCUCCUGAAUGUAGAUGAGGGCAGAUUCCAAAAGGGGCUGUCAUAGAAAAACAUUCAGCUUUCCAACAGGUCUUUAUUAUUUUAUUUCAUUGGCCACCCCAAGGCAUAUGGACUUCCUGCACCAGGGAUCAGAUCUGAGCUGCAAUGGUGACCUGUGCUGCAGCUGUGGCAACGCCAGAUCCUUCACCCACUGUGCCAGGCUGGGGAUCAAACCUGCAUCCCAGUGCUUCUACGACGCAGUUGAUCCUGUUGUACCACAGCAGGAACUCCCCAGUCAGUCUUUAAAUAGGAUCUCUCAUUUCGAGAGGCAAGAUAUUUGAUACACAGAGUAGCUUUCCCCAGCUGAAGGACAUAGCUACAAGUCAAAGUGUAGAUUUUAAUUCCUCAUGAAAGGGUCAGAGGGCCACCACCCUCCUUGUGGGUGGUUUUUAGCAUCAGGUGUCUGGGUUAUGAAUUCCCAAGCAGGGGGACAAUUACUUUCCUCCAAAAGGCCCAACCAGAAGGACUUGGCUUUGGUCUGCCUUUGCUUCCCCCUCCCUCUUCUUCCUCAUUCCCUCUCAUUCCAUCCAGCCCACAGAACCCACUUUAAGGAAGUGUAGGAUUCUGAGGUCAAUGACCUCUGCAAUAUCUCCCCAGGCACCAAAGUCAGGGAAACUUGCACAGAGGAAUGGGCAUUAGAUUUGAAUUCAAUGAAUAUACCUGAAAGUCUUUCUUUUCUUUGUAUCGGCCAAAUGAAAUGAACUGAUAACAGCUAAGAAGUGUGGGAUUCAAGCCACAGGCUUGCACCAGUGUUAAAUGAUGGUUCGAUCAAGUGGUACAAAGAAAACACAUGAGCGCAGGGCCUUCAUGGCAGGCCCAGCUUCUUACUGCUUGAGUCUCAUGUUGACGAAGAAAAGGAUGGCUGAAGAAGGGCCUCUCUGUUUUUUAUUGCUCUAAGAGAGUUUCGGACACAUUUAAGGGAAAGAAAUGUAUGGAACUCGGGCAAGAAUCCUCUUCCUGGUUGAAUGAGGGCUCCCCCCACCACAUUCCUCAUGGACAGCUCCCCCUGCUGGUAUUCAGACUAUUCCUUAAGACAAUGACCUUGGUCUAGUAGGUUUCCUCUUUUCACCCUGUUCUGAUUAUUAAAGUUGAGCAAGUAAACAAAGGGGCAAAAGAUUAAUACGGCUCCCAUGCAAGGAUGAUAUGCAAAUUUGUGAAGCAUUCCAUAUUUUUCUGUAACCUUUAGAAUGUAUAAGCAAUGAGGUCCUCUUGUAUAGCCCAGGGAACUGUAUCCAAUCUCUUGGGAUAGACCAUGAUAGAAGAUAAUAUGAGAAAAAGAAUGUAUAUAUAGGUAUGACUGGGUCACUGUGCUGUACAGCAGAAAUUGGCACAAUGUUGUAAAUUUACUAUACUUUAAUUCAAAAAAGAGUAAAAAAAAAAAAAAAUGGGAGGAGGAGUGAUGGGAAAGAAUGACAAGCCCACAGUUCCAUCCCCAGAGGAUUCUGGUGACAUCGUCUCUGCUGAAGGCUGUUUGGAAGCAUCUCUUGUGGACCAGUACAGGCUUCAUCUGGGAGACUUGCCUGGUUAACGUUCAGAAACUCUCUAUAUAGAUUUCUACACAUUCUACAUGUUUGACAUUAGAUACCUAGAAAGGACUGGGAAGUGAAGAAGGCAUCAUGACGUUUAAAGAAGACUUGGUGAUCAGUGUGGAGUGUCCUUCACAGAAAUGGCCUUGUGUUCAGCAGGGAUGCAGCAGGCGUGUCCCCAGUCUCCACCUUCCCUGUGGCUGCUCUCCUGGGGCCCGUCUUGCACAGGAGGAGAAUUUGGCCAUAGUAGUGGCUUCUUUCCUCUUUCACUCAUGGUUUCUCUAUUAUUCAGCAAUUAGUAGGGUGCGCCCAUUACAUGCGAAAUACUCUUCCAGCCUCUCCUCCUCUGUUUCCCACGCAUCACAGAUCCAGGGAGUUGAAAGUCACUGUCUUCAGGAAAAGGACAGACCCCUCUCCAGCCCUGAUCUCAGGAUAACUCUACAAGAUGUGAAUCUCAUACUUGAGUUUUGUCCCAAUGUAACACCCAGGACCCAGUGAUUUAGAAAAGAUGGCUGUGUCCUGGGUCCGAAAUAAUAUGCUUGUUGUAAAUCACCCGUGCAUGCACUCUACAGAUGUGAAAACCUAUUGUGGCACCGGACUUUAAUUAGACCUUCUGACUUAACCUCCUCCCUCUUUAGGCCUUUUGUGAUAUGGCCCCACCCCAUCCAUCUGAUCCGGCAUCCUACUCAGGUAUAACCUCUUUUGCUGAGCACAUAUCCCCACAAAGGUACAUCACAAGCAUCCUGCCAUAAAUCAGCACAUGGUACCUGCUGUGGUGCCGGCCUCAUCCCACCCUUCUCGCCAUGGUGAGCCUGAGGCAAUAAAUAUUUGGCUCAUUGGUUCAUCUGGGAAGCCACAGUUUCUGAACAUCCACGAGAUCAUCAGAGAGGAGUAUCUUGAGCUGCCUGGUGCAACAGAAAAGGGAAAUUUUGAGAAACAGAGGAAUCUAGGGCAGUUUCUGCUUUGAAUUUGGGACUGAAGCUAAUUUAAAA
rnacentral:snRNA from 1 species